rnacentral:rRNA from 1 species
GACGAACGCUGGCGGCGUGCCUAAUACAUGCAAGUAGGACGCAGUUGCGAACGGGUGAGUAACGCGUAGGGAACUGCCUAUUAGAGGGGGAUAACUAUUGGAAACGAUAGCUAAUACCGCAUACUAGUAGAUGGUCCUGCGUUGUAUUAGCUAGUAGGUAGGGUAAUGGCCUACCUAGGCAACGAUACAUAGCCGACCGGAGAGGGGGGUCGUGCACACGGGGACUGGUACACGGCCCAGACCCCUACGGGGGGCAGCAGUAGGGAAUCUUCGGCAAUGGGGUGAACCCUGACCGAGCAACGCCGCGUGAGUGAAGAAGGUUUUCGGAUCGUAAAGCUAUGUUGUUAAGGAAGCGGUACUUAACCAGAAAGGGACGGCUAACUACGUGCCAGCAGCCGCGGUAAUAC